UAAUACUCCCAGCCCAAAUUUUCAAUUAUUUAUAUACCAAACCCCAAUAAUCCCUUUUUCCUGGCCCUCAACUCAGAACACAAAUAAGCUUUGGGAAUUAUUUACCAGAAGUCAGGAGAUACUGUUGUAGGGGACAGAUGAGUCAGGACACCCAGGACAGCAGGAAGCAGUUUUAUUUGGCUGCAGCCAGAUUUAGUGGAUAGAACUUUUUCUAUAAUCAAUUAAUCCCCCUGAACCCUGAGUUCAGGCAGUUUGAGAACUUAUUCUCAGUGUGUAAGAGAAAGGGCUUCACAGUUCACAGUCACCAGAAGUUUACACAAAAGCAGGUUUUUCUUUUCUUUUUUUUUAAAAUUUCUUACAUACAUGACAAUAAUGGAAUGCAUUGCAAUCAUAAUUAUCCAUCCACAGCACAGUUUUUCAUAACUCUGUAUAUAAAGUAUGUUCACACCAAAUUAUGCCAUUAUACAUGAGCUCUCUUAUUAUUAUUAUUUUUUUGCAUUACAA
rnacentral:lncRNA from 1 species